UCUGCAUACGGGUGAACUACAACUGGGUUUUUGUAUGUUUUCUGGGCUGUAUGGCCAUGUUCUAGAAGUAUUCUCUCCUGACGUUUUGCCCACAUCUAUGGCUGGCAUCCUCAGAGGUUGUGAGGUAUGGAGAAACUCAGCAAGAGGGGUUUAUAUAUAUCUGUGGGAAGUCCAGGGUGAGGGAAGAACUCUUGUCAGUUGGAGGCCAGCGUGAAUGUUGCAGUUAGUCGCCUUAAUUUGCAUUGAAUGGCUUAUUCUACUGGCUACUUUCUGCCUGGGGGCAUCCUUUGUUAGCUGCACUUAGUUCUCAUGUAGAAUCAUAGAAUCAUAGAAUAGUAGAGUUGGAAGAGACCUCAUGGGCCAUCCAGUCCAACCCCCUGUCAAGAAGCAGGAAAUAUCUCAGAGUGUUGCUUCUUAUUUACUUUCUGAUUUUUGAGUCUUUUAAUACUGGUAGCCAGAUUUUGUUCAUUUUCAUGGUUUCCUCCUUUCUGUUGAAGUUGUCCACAUGCUUGUGAAUUUCAAGGGCUUCUCUGUGUAGUCUGACAUGAUAGUUAUUGGAGUGGUCAAGCAUUUCUGUGUUCUCAAAUAAUAUACUGUGUCCAGGUUGGUUCAUCAGGUGCUCUGUUAUGGCUGAUUUCUCUAGUUGAAUUAGUCUGCAGUGCCUUUCAUGUUCUUUGACUCGUGUUUGGGCACUGCGUUUGGUGGUUCCUAUGUAGACUUGUCCACAGCUGCAUGGUAUAUGGUAGACUCCUGCAGAGGUGAGAGGAUCCCUUUUGUCCUUCACUGACCAUUUGUUGGAUUUUCAUUGUGGGUCUGUAGAUAGUUUGUAGGUUGUGUUUCUUCAUCAGUUUGCCUACACGGUCAAUGGUUCCCUUGAUGUAUGGAAAGGUGUUCUUACCAUACAUCAAGGGAACUACUGACCGCAUAGGGAAGCUGAUGAAGAAGCACAACCUACAAACUAUCUACAGACCCACGAAGAAAAUCCAACAAAUGCUACGGUCAGCAAAGGACAAGAGGGAUCCUCUCUCUUCUGCAGGAGUCUACCGGAUACCAUGCAGCUGUGGACAAGUCUACAUAGGGACCACCAAACGCAGCACCCAAACAAGAGUCAAAGAACAUGAAAGGCACUGCAGACUAAUUCAACCAGAGAAAUCAGCCAUAGCAGAGCAUUUGAUGAACCAGCCUGGACACAGAAUACUAUUUGAGAACACAAAAAUGCUGGACCAUUCUAACAACUAUCAUGUCAGACUGCACAGAGAAGCCAUUGAAAUCCACAAGCAUGUGGACAACUUCAACAGAAAGGAAGAAACCAUGAAAAUGAACAAAAUCUGGCUACCAGUAUUAAAAAACUCAAAAAUCAGAACAGUAAAUAAAAAGCAAUACUCUGAAAACAGAGGAUUUCCAGACAUGAAUCAACCAAGGGCAGUUAACGACUCUAAACAAAGGAUGCCCCAGAGGCAGGAAGAAGACAGCAGAUAAGCUUUUCAAUGCUAAUUAAAGUGAUUAACUACACAACAUUCACACUGACCUCUCUCACCCUAGACUUUCCACAGAUAUAUAUUAACCUCUUUGCUUAGUUUUCUCCAUACCUCACAACCUCUGAGGAUGCCUGCCAUAGAUGUGGGCGAAAAGUCAGGAGAGAAUGCUUCUGGAACAUGGCCACACAGCCCGAAAGACAUACAACCCUGUGAUUCACCACCACCUUCACCCACUUGGCCGAACCCCCUCUGGCUUCUUUCACCAGCCAGGAUGGGCAGGGGUCCAGGAUGCAUGUGGUCGCUCUCGCCUCUCCAAGGAUCUUGUCCACGUCCUCGAGCUCAACCAAUUGAAAUGAAUCCAUCAAAACUGGACAAGCAGGUGCUCUCGUUACAUCCUCAGAGACUGCCAUUAAUAUGGUGUCAAAGUUGGAGCGGAUCAGAGCGACUUUGUCUGCAAAGAACCGAGCAAAUGCUUCACAGUGGGCUGCCGAGUUAUCAGGGCUC
ensembl:lncRNA